rnacentral:rRNA from 1 species
CGGAGGAAAAGAAACCAACAGGGAUUGCCCUAGUAACGGCGAGUGAAGCGGCAACAGCUCAAAUUUGAAAUCUGGCUUCGGCCCGAGUUGUAAUUUGCAGAGGAUGCUUCUGGCGCGGUGCCUUCCGAGUUCCCUGGAACGGGACGCCACAGAGGGUGAGAGCCCCGUAUGGUCGGACACCAAGCCUGUGUGAAGCUCCUUCGACGAGUCGAGUAGUUUGGGAAUGCUGCUCUAAAUGGGAGGUAAAUCUCUUCUAAAGCUAAAUACCGGCCAGAGACCGAUAGCGCACAAGUAGAGUGAUCGAAAGAUGAAAAGCACCUUGAAAAGGGGGUUAAAUAGUACGUGAAAUUGUUGAAAGGGAAGCGUUUAUGACCAGACUUGCGCCGGGCGGCUCAUCAGGGGUUCUCCCCUGUGCAUUCCGCCCGGCUCAGGCCAGCAUCGGUUCUCGUGGGGGGAUAAGACCGCCGGGAACGUAGCACCCUCCGGGGUGUGUUAUAGCCCGGCGGACGAUACCCUCGUGGGGACCGAGGUUCGCGCUCCGCAAGGAUGCUGGCGUAAUGGUCAUCAGCGACCCGUCU